CUGUGAACUGGACUUGCUGUGUGAGGGUCUGUGCCUGCCUGAAGCAGCUUGGAGCAUUGUCUCCCAAAGAGAAGGACUCUCAAGCAAUUGUAUAUAAAUUCGACUUGAGGUGUCAAGGUGGUGAAAUAGAAGCAAAUGAGCAGCAAGUGCAUUUGCAGCAACAAAGCAGCACAUAAAUGGCAAGGCAGACCACAUUUUAAUAAGUCCCUUGGAGUAUUGGCCUGUUAUGUGGGAUAGCAAGCAAUGAAAAAGACGAAGAUCCUGCAGAUAUAUACACAGCAUUUAUUUGAGGACGUCUCUAAGUCAUGUUCAUUUGGGGUUUUUUUGCAGGAGAGUAUACCUGGAUUACAGGCUUCUGGUUGUCAGAAUGGAAUAACACUACUUGCACAUUGUUUAGAUUUUACAAAGCAAAACAUAUUAUAUUCAGUGCUUUAGAAGGAUUCACGUUCAGUAUAAUAUGGAAGGAGACCAUGAUACUCUGAUGAACCAUUUAUUGAUGAGUGAGUCCCAUUUCACUUUGCCUAAUUUGUGAAACUGCUGAUAAAUUAGCAAAAUGACUUUUUUGACACUUGUUACUUUUGGAUGCCACUGUUACAUCUUUUUAUGAAACCACAACAUUCUUGACGUGCGACUUUUUUUCCACGGUGCAUCCAUGCCUGGUGAAAAAAUGUUCUCAUCACUAAUCAGUAAAACAAAUGUGCCCACAAGUAAACAUUAAAGAUAAAGAGAUUUGGCACAGGAUAUUUGUUUUUGGAAUUUUCUGCAGAGAGACUUCAGAAACAUUUGUCUGAUUUUUUAAUCACUAUAAGACAAAUACAUGGUUUUUAGAGUAGAUUCAAAAAAGAUGGGUAUAUGACUAACAUAAAUGUAUUUACUUUACUUUUUUAAAAUAUGCCAUAUGGGAAUUAAAUUUUAAUGUUUGAAAUAAA